CCACGCGGGAAGACAGUGAGUGAGUGUGUAGCGGAGAGGCAGUAUUGAUUUUGUGGAGCGGGAGGGUACACGCGCUCUGCACUCACACCCUAGAUAGCACAUUCUUCACGCCUAUAAUCCCAAACAAAAUGGCCCACUCAUGACCUUGGAGAUUAGAGGCAUGCUGAGCUACUUCGCUCCCCUCGGCCCCAGCGUGCGGGUCCCGUAUCUGUCACAGGAGGCAAAGAGGCUCGUUCCCUGCCGCCGCCAUGCCACCGCUGCUGCGCUUCCUGGCGGUGUUCUUGCUGCUCGCCGCCUCCCUCGCCCACUCUCUGCCUCAGGAUGGCCCGAGCCGAAACGCAGACUUUACCUUCGCGGACAAGACGAGGGUGCUGGCCAGCAGGGUUUCAGGCCGUGACCUGACGCGACCUCGGCGACACUCUUCGUCACGCAGGCUCGUGUACCACCAUGAAGGCUCGGGGAGGCUGGGACACAGGGCCGAGAGGGACGCGGACAGGCCUGGGACUGAUUCCGUGAGACUCAGCAGAAGAAAACGUGCACCGUGUCCUGGGAGUGGAAAAUGUCCAGAUGACCAAACUCCCUUUAUGUGUCAGAGUGGCUGUACCAUUUGUGCCGUGCAGAACUGCGACGGCUAUGAUGACUGUCCGGGUGGAGACGACGAGCAGCAAUGUACGUGUCCACCGCCGACGUUCACCUGUAAUAACGGCAUAUGUGUUGCGAGGUGUGACGGCAUCCCUGAAUGUCCCGACGGUGCUGAUGAAGACAACUGUGCUACUACCCCCACCACCACUCCUACUACUACUACUACUACUACUACUACUACUACUACUACUACUACUACUACUACUACUACUACUACUACUACUACUACUACUACACCCACUACUACUACUACUACUACUACUACUACUACUACUACUACUACUACUACCACUCCCACUACUACUACUACUCCCACUACUACUACUACUACUCCCACUACUACUACUACUACUACUACUACUACUACUACUCCCACUACCACUACUACUACUCCCACUACCACCACUACUACCACCACCACCACCACCACCACUACAACUACUCCUCCUCCUGAGUGUGGUGCUGGUCAGUGGCAGUGUGAGGACGGCAGCUGCAUCGAUAACCAGGACCGCUGCGAUGGCUACCUUCAAUGCUGGGACGGCUCGGAUGAGGAAAACUGUCCACCUAGCUGUGGUGCUGGUCAGUGGCAGUGUGAGGACGGCGGCUGCAUCAGUAACCAGGACCGCUGCGAUGGCUACCUUCAGUGCUGGGACGGCUCGGAUGAGGAAAACUGUCCACCUAAGCGCUGCCACCACUGGGAGUUCAAGUGCCAGGAUGGUUUGUGUAUUGACGAAAGUCUACUCUGCAAUGGUGACCGAGACUGCCCAGAUGGCUCAGACGAGAGGAACUGCAAGCCACGAGUCUGCGGUGGCAAUGAGUGGACGUGUCUCAGCGGCCAGUGCGUGCCCCUCACUGCUCCCUGCAACAACCAUUACGACUGUUUUGAUCGAUCCGACGAGGAGAACUGCCCUUCGAGCCGCCGGUCUAUAUACAGCUAAAGGAGGAGGCACCGCUGUAAGCCAUAAGCCACCCACCCCAUCACGACACUUGGCGGAGAGGCACUACUUGGCCCGACGGAGGCGGUGUGUGGCGGCAGGCGGGGAGCCUUGGGAAGAUGAUGAACUGUUCCGUAGUGCCGGUGUAGCGGGCCAGAAGCUCCCCCGGACGAUAAGUUCUCAAAGCAACACCAACAGCCGACUCCUUCAGGCACAAAACUAAACAAGACACAUCUAUGCUUCCUGCAAUUCUUGAGAUGUUCUCCAGAUCGUAUACCCCAGCCAGCCAAUCAACCAGACUGAGUCAUCAGUCCACUCAGCGUCAGGCAUUGUAACACGAGUCUCUGCUGGCUGGACGCGACGGCCCGACGUUUCGUUCAUUCUCGGCUGUGUGCUGCACAACACACUAAACUAGCCACAGCUAUGAGGUCUGCGGGGAUCAGGAGAUAUGAAAGUGGCAGCGGGCAUUUUGUAUCUUCCUGCGCUGCCUUCUUUACUGUGAAAAAAAAUUAAGCAACACCCGCCGUCUGCAGCUCUGGGCGUGGGGGGCCACGCAUGCGCAGUUGUUGAUAUGGGAACUCCCUGUCCGCCACACCGGCUAAUAGUGUGGUUGUGUGUGUGUGUUGGGGGGGGGGGGGGGGGGGUCAGCGUAGGGGAUCCCCUUUUACAGCAUUGCCGCGUGUCUCGUAGCCCGCGAUGUAGAAAUGUUCUAAUAUAAGUAAAACCUUGGCAAAUAUGAUCAGCAAAUAUGCAUACACAUUUAAUCUUAGUAUUAUAACAUAUGAAAGAACAAUUUAGGGUAGGCGGUGGCUGAGUGGUUAGCGUGCUGGGGUCAUAUUCACGGCGCCAUGGACAACGUCGGUUCGAAUCCCCACGCUACCACCUGGGAUUUUUCAGUCACCGCCGAGUGGUCUAAGACUCCCCACAUGCUGUCCAGAAGACCACCCAUCAACCCGGACUCUAGAAGAAACCGUCCAGUGAAUCAAGAAUGAGUUCCGGGGGGCAGCAUGAGCCAAGCAUAACUGGCGACACUAUAAAAAAAAUUGCCUGCGCCACGACGGGCUUGGGCCGACCAUCUGGCCCCUGAAGAAAGCCUACCGGCGCAAUAGGCUGGCGUGUAAAAAAAAAAAUAUUUUGGAUAAGAUAUUUAUAAGCAUAUAAAGAAAUGUUGCAUACAUAUUUUACAGUGCUGCUAAAAAAAAUGCUAUACUUAUUAUUGAGUUUCCCUUUCGUGUUGGGAUGUGUAGGUUGUUCACAAUUCUAUUUGGAUUACAUCGUGAAGCAAUGUACGUUAAAAUAAGCUGUCAUAAGUAAGAAAAAAAUACAUUCAAAUCCUCGUGGAUGUAACGUCACGAGAGAGAGAGAGAGAGAGAGAGAGAGAGAGAGAGAGAGAGAGAGAGAGAGAGAGAGAGCUUAUCUUACCAUAAAGCCACCAGUCACGACUCAUAAGCAUUAUUAACUUACUCGAGCCUUCUACACACUUCCCCCCUCCCCCCGUACCUUCCAGCCCCAAUUUCUUCAUCCUUAUCAGGUUUGUUGGCUUACCAGAUCACAUGACAAUUCAUCUUUGAGUUGUUACCAUUUGUAUUUUCAGCCAGAAAUUAAGUACUGAGGGACGAUGGAGGUUGAAUUAGAAGUUAUAGGUCGUCAACAAAUGCCUAAUUCGUUUCCUCACACCGCUUCAGCUUAGGAACUGAUCUUGUAACUUUUAAUUUACCGUAUCGCAACGGCCAUGGAUCAUGUGUCGUCACCGGGUACUUUCUUCCUGCUGUCAAUCACGUUUCCCUGAUAUAUAACCACCCAGAUAGGAGCACAUCUUUUUUCAACGUCCCUUCCUCCUAUCACUUCUUCCGCCUUUAUUUUCAUUUUUUCUCACUGCCUAGAAAGCACAUUCUUCAUGCAUUCCCGGCAUAUACUCCCUUCAUAAUGGCGCAACUCACGCCCCUACAUAUACGCUCAGAGCCACGCUGAGCCACUCCACUUCGCUCCCCUCGGCCCCAGCGUGCGGGUCCCGUGUCUGUUCACAGGAGGCAAAUAGGCUCACUCUCUGCCGCCGCCAUGCCGCCGCUGCGCCCCCUGGUGGUAGUCCUGCUGCUCGCCGCCUCCCUCGCCCACUGUCUACCUCAGGAUGGCCCGAGCCGAAACGCAGACUUUACCUUCGCGGACAAGACGAGGGUGCUGGCCAGCAGGGUGUCAGGCCGUGACCUGACGCGACCUCGGCGACAAUCUUCGUCACAAGUGUGCAGCAGCGACGAGCUCCCUUGUGAUGCAACCAAAUGCAUACAUAAUACGGCGCGCUGCGAUGGCGUCCCGGACUGUGUGGACAAGACAGACGAAAAGAACUGUCCAAGGUGUAUCGCAAGCGAGUGGAUGUGUAGAGACACUUCCUGCAUCGAUAACAAGAAACGCUGCGAUGGGAAGGAUGAUUGCCUUGACAAAUCGGAUGAAAUAGGCUGUCCUCCAACGCCGACCAAGUGUGGCGCAGGCGAGUGGCAGUGUAGAAACGGUGGCUGCAUCGACACCACGACACGUUGCAAUAAGAAACCUGACUGCAGUGACGACUCGGACGAAGAAGGCUGUCCUGUAAACCCUACCAGUUGUGGCGCAGCGCAGUGGCAGUGUGCUGACAUGGACUGCAUCGAUAUGAAGUUCCUCUGCGAUGGCCUUUCUCAUUGCAAUGACGACUCGGAUGAGCAAUCUGGCGUCUGUUCUAUCACGUGUACACCGGAGCAAGUCUACUGCGGUGGCGACCUUUGUGCUGCAGAUAUCGCAAGCUGCCCCAUUACUACCACCGCCACCACCACCACUACUACUACUACUACUACUACCCCCACUCCGUGUGCUCCGUCCCAGACUGAUUGUGGUGGUGGCCUUUGUGCUGCAAGUAGUGGAGGCUGUCCUGCUACUACCACUACUACUACUCCUACCACUACUACUACUACUACUCCAACUACUACUACUACUACUACUCCUACCACUACUACUACUACUCCUACCACUACUACUACUACUCCUACCACUACUACCACUACUCCUCCAACUACUACUACUACUACUACUACUACUACUCCAACUACUACUACUACUACUCCAACUACUACUACUACUACUCCUACCACAACUACUACUACUCCUACCACUACUACUACUACUCCUACCACCACCACAACCACCACCACCACUACAACCACCACCCCCACAACCACUCUUCCUCCUGGGUGUGGUGCGGGCCAAUGGCAAUGUAGGGACGGUGGCUGCGUCUCUGUGGAAGACUGCUGCGAUGGCUACUUGCAAUGCUGGGACGGAUCGGAUGAGGAAAACUGUUGUGAAGCGGGCUUCUGGACGUGUAGGGACGGUGGAUGCAUCUAUGAGCAGGACCGCUGCGAUGGAUACCUUCAGUGCUUUGACGGCUCGGAUGAGAUUGGCUGUUGACCUAGUGAGCCGCAAAGACCGUGGACCAAGGCAGCCUCCGGAGCAGUGUUCUUCAAACUUCUCUUACUGUGUGACCCUGUUUUACGCUUAACGCCCCCCUUCCCUUUGCUACCAUAUAUAAUAGGUCUUCCCGUCGUUUUGUAUGGGUCUGUUUGUGAAGCGGCGCUCCAACUUGAUGUGUAUACGGGCUGGGCCGACAAACAGGCCCCACCGGGAUGAAGC